CCUACGGGAGGCAGCAGUGAGGAAUAUUGGUCAAUGGACGAGAGUCUGAACCAGCCAAGUAGCGUGAAGGAUGACUGCCCUAUGGGUUGUAAACUUCUUUUAUAAAGGAAUAAAACGAGGCACGUGUGCCUUUUUGCAUGUACUUGAUGAAUAAGGAUCGGCUAACUCCGUGCCAGCAGCCGCGGUAAUACGGAGGAUCCGAGCGUUAUCCGGAUUUAUUGGGUUUAAAGGGAGCGUAGAUGGGUUGUUAAGUCAGUUGUGAAAGUUUGCGGCUCAACCGUAAAAUUGCAAUUGAUACUGGCAGUCGUGAGUACAGUUGAGGUAGGCGGAAUUCGUGGUGUAGCGGUGAAAUGCUUAGAUAUCACGAAGAACCCCGAUUGCGAAGGCAGCUUACUAAACUGUGACUGACAUUGAUGCUCGAAAGUGUGGGUAUCAAACAGGAUUAGAUACCCUGGUAGUC
rnacentral:rRNA from 1 species